CCGCCCCUCGUCGAGAUGGACGAACGACACCGCGUAGAGCGCGGUCAGGACGGUGAACUCGCGGACGUUGUCGGGGAUCCGGUCCCGGUGGCGGG
rnacentral:tRNA from 1 species